GCUGCCCGCCCGUACGCGACCCCAGGUCAGGCGGGGCUACCCGCUGAGUUUAAGCAUAUCAAUAAGCGGAGGAAAAGA
rnacentral:rRNA from 1 species